rnacentral:rRNA from 1 species
GACGAACGCUGGCGGCGUGCUUAACACAUGCCAGUCGAACGGAAAGGCCCUGCUUUUGUGGGGUGCUCGAGUGGCGCACGGGUGAGUAACACGUGUGUAACCUGCCCUUGUCUUUGUGAUAACUUCAGGAAACUGGGGCUAAUACCGGAUAGGAGCUCCUGCUGCAUGGUGGGGGUUGGAAAGUUUCGGCGGUUGUGGAUGGACUCGCGGGUUAUCGGCUUGUUGGGGGAGUAGUGGAUUACCAAGGCUAUGACGGAUAGCCGGCCUUGGAGGGUGAACGGCCACAUGGGGACUGAGAGAGGGAGCAGAAGGCUACGGGAGGCAGCAGGGGGGAAUCUUGCACAAUGGGCGGAAGCCUGAUGCAGCAACGCCGCGUGCGGGAUGACCGCCUUCGAGUUGUAAACCGCUUUCGCCUGUGACGAAGCGGGAGUGACGGUAAUGGGUAAAGAAGCACCGGCUAACUACGUG